rnacentral:miRNA from 1 species
CGAUGGAUGAAUUAAGACUAC